GGAAGGUGCAAGCGUUAAUCGGAAUUACUGGGGCGUAAAGCGCGCGUAGGCGGCUAGAUUAGUCGGGUGUGAAAGCCCUGGGGCUCAACCUGGGGAACUGCAUUCGAUACUGUCUAGCUAGAGUCUGGUAGAGGGAGGCGGAGUUCCGCAUGUAGCGGUGAAAUGCGUAGAGAUGCGGAGGAACACCAAUGGCGAAGGCAGCCUCCUGGACUAACACUGACGCUGAGGCGCGAAAGCGUGGGGAGCAAACAGGAUUAGAUACCCUGGUAGUCCACGCCGUAAACGAUGUCAACUAGCCGUUGGGAGCAUUUUGGCUCUUGGUGGCGCAGCUAACGCGAUAAGUUGACCGCCUGGGGAGUACGGUCGCAAGAUUA
rnacentral:rRNA from 1 species